AGAGUACCCAGAGCACGGCUGAGAUGUCCCUCCUUUGUCUAAGCCAUGCUCUGGGUACUUUGAC
rnacentral:precursor_RNA from 1 species